UAUUUAUUGGUGUAAAGGCAUAGAAAAUUUUGAUUUUUCAGGGUGUAGUGUAAUUCUACAAUAAAUAA
rnacentral:tRNA from 1 species